AUGUACCGCCGCUGUGACACUGAAGGGAACACAACACUUCACUGCUGCCUCAGUAGUAGCUCAAGCACACAAGAGCCAAGGACUGAGUGGCUCCUGCUGAAGAAUGGUGCCAGAGUUUUCCAGGGGAACAAACUAGAUCUCACACCAGUGCACAUCGAUGCAGCUAAGAUGAAUUACAAGGCUGUUCAGAGUUCAAGUGAAGAGACGGGUUGGACGAACGAGAUGAGUAAAGACAACAACGUCCCCCGCACCGUCGUGGAGGACGACAGCGGCCUUCUCCUCUGGGCAGGGCAUAUCUCCAGGAAGUUGGCCUCUUCCUUGACCUACUGCAGACUGGCAGCAAUUUUUCUGCUACUUCUGCUACUGUCUUCCUCGCAAGCAUCUGCGACAUGUGAGCAACCGUCUUCACCACCAGCGGCACGCCUAGAGCCCCCGCCUCCACCAACAACUACCGGCGAGCUGCCGCCGCCUCCACCAGAAGCUGGUCUCGAGGCUCCACCUCCACCUGCAGCAAAUCUUGAGGUGCCACCGCCGCCGCCUCCAGCCGGGGCCGGCAUCCCCCCGCCUCCACCAGCGACUAUGGUCGAGUCGCCGGCGCCUCCAGCAGGAGCCGCCGUGGUGGUGCCGGCCGGGACAGCGGUGGUGCUGCCGUCGCCUGUAGCCGGGGUUAUCGUGUCGAGGGACACCAAAGAGGACCGCCUCUUUAAGUGGCUUUUCGUUGGUUUAUUCCUCGUCCUCCUAUUCUCUCUUGUGUUAGCACUGGUUAUUAUGAUAGUAGGGCCGUGCACAUUCCGGCUGCGCAUCUCUCUAAUGUGUUUUUCGUGCUCACUGGAAUGA
rnacentral:rRNA from 1 species